ACGUCUCCUUCACUCUCUCCUAUGCCCAAUUAGUGACACGUGGCAGUCAUAGACGUACUCCUUUACUUUCUGAAUUAGUGAAUUUGGUCGUACAGUAAAAGGUUUCAAUGGGUUUAUGAAUUAUUUUGGGCUCUUCCUACUUUUAAUGGUGUGACCCAUUAGGUUAAGGUGUAUUCAGUUGCGUCUUCCUCUUCGUCUUCGACGCUUCGUUUUUCUUUUUCUGUCCGCCAUUGCCUAAAGUCUUCUUCCUCUCUGAAACUUCUCCUUUAAUUCAAUCAAUUAAGACCAUCCCACUCUUUCUUAUUUAUUCAGUCUCCCAAACGGCGUAUUUAACCGAUGCAAUAUCCACCUUCAAAUAUGUCUUCUGUCCCUACACCUCUCAGAUUUCUGAUAGCUUAAACACUCUUACUCAUCACCCUAAAAUAUGUCGGCUUCGUAUGAUCUUCUCGCCAACCAACUUGAAAGCAGGACGCUGCUCUUAACACGGUGGAGGUCUGUCAAAGGAGGUCUUGGGAAGAUCGGAAUGUCUAUAUAUCUGAGCGAGAUGAAGGUGCCUCUUAAGUAUUUUAGGGAUAUCAAAAAGGAACAGAAUUAAAGAACCAAAAGGGUUCAAGCUUGAGUUUAUCUUUGAUCAGAGCCCUUACUUCACGAACAGAGUCUUGACCAUGACAUAUCACAUGAUUGAUGAAGAUGAGCAUAUCUGAUUUUUUUUUUGUUUCGCAAGACAAAGAAGUCUUAUUAAUCGUUAACAAUUUUCCAGGACAGACAAUGAGUGGUAUCCUCUAAAAUGUAUGACUCGGUAGAUCCUUAGUUAAAGCCGAUCACUUAGACUAAAGACUGUGAGAGUUUCUGAAAAUUGUUCAGUCCACCUAAAAUUCAUGUGGAAGACGAUGAUCCUGUUGAUGAAUAGGUAUGGAAUAUUACUGAAUCCGGACUCAACAGCGUUCAAGACGACACCACUGGCACUGGAUCCGAUUGAGACUCAACAGCAGUUAGGAAGAGUUAAAGACUGUAUGAGCUCCCGCCCGCCACCUCAAAACUAAAGAGAUCACAGAUGUUCUACCAAACUUCCCAGAUAUAUUAAGUCAUCAACCAUCUGGAGAAAGAAUGUGCUUUCUAGAACAGGGAAAAACACAUACGCCGUAAACAGAGAGGAGGUAUAUAGUUCAUCAUUUACUACUGAUUUGAUUUCGUGCUCUUUGCUUUUUUUAAUUUGUUUUCACCAUCAACUAAACCUAAAAUAUAACCUGACAUCAUGAAGCGAAUUCAAGUUUGUUAAAAUAGAUCUGAUGGUAAAGCACUAAAGCUGCUCCACGAGACUGGAAAAGCUAUAGCUCCUGAAGACUGAAUUUAAAUGAAAGUGUGAGACUCUGACUUCUUACUCUAGGUUUAAUACACAUGCAUUAUUGACUCACUCUUUUUUGUUAGGCUUUAUUUCCCGAUGCAAUAUGUAACCACUGACCAUUACAGAGCUUCACGAAAUGUUAGGCUGGUGAAGCCAACAUGACAGCAGUUCGUAAGCUAAUCUAAGAAGACUACAUGGGAGAUUCUAGCAGCCGCUCUAUAGGUUUGCUUUCUCAGUUCAGACCCUACUGUUUUAAGGUUUGUUGGUCACAAGCGUUAUUGACCCAUUGACCACAAUGAAGGCAUGUGUGAUCAAUGAUUGUGUAGCCUACGCGCUGAUCCAAAGUCGCUCAUCAUUGUUUAUAGUUUGACAGAAACUUGGGAUCUUGCAGUUUCCACAUUGAAAAGUCCAAAAAGUCCAAAGGCUGAUUUUGGCAUGGCACAUCACAUCACAUGUUUUAGCUGUGGAUGCUCACCAAGAAGAACUCGAAAAAGUUAUCAGUAAAGUGGCUGUUGACAUUCAUGGUUCUUUUGUCUCCAUGUCCUCUUCAGUACAUUCAUAAUAUGAUUUACUUAGGUUUAUCACUAUUUUUAUAUCAACCCUCAGAUUUACCACUAUAAGUUUUUGGUUACCGUCACUUUAUCAUUUCUUCAGCACAUUCUAUUGUAAAUUGGUGAUACAUUACUGUAGAGAAGAGUUGUUCUGAAUUAGAAAACAUUGAGUGAAUAAA